UAGAGUUUGAUCCUGGCUCAGGAUGAACGCUGGCGGCGUGCCUAAUACAUGCAAGUCGAGCGAAUGGAUUAAGAGCUUGCUCUUAUGAAGUUAGCGGCGGACGGGUGAGUAACACGUGGGUAACCUGCCCAUAAGACUGGGAUAACUCCGGGAAACCGGGGCUAAUACCGGAUAACAUUUUGAACCGCAUGGUUCGAAAUUGAAAGGCGGCUUCGGCUGUCACUUAUGGAUGGACCCGCGUCGCAUUAGCUAGUUGGUGAGGUAACGGCUCACCAAGGCAACGAUGCGUAGCCGACCUGAGAGGGUGAUCGGCCACACUGGGACUGAGACACGGCCCAGACUCCUACGGGAGGCAGCAGUAGGGAAUCUUCCGCAAUGGACGAAAGUCUGACGGAGCAACGCCGCGUGAGUGAUGAAGGCUUUCGGGUCGUAAAACUCUGUUGUUAGGGAAGAACAAGUGCUAG
rnacentral:rRNA from 1 species